ensembl:misc_RNA Y_RNA Y RNA
GGCUGGUUCAAAAGUAGUGAGUUUUCUCACUUGAUUGUUCAGUUAUGGGUAGAACUUCCUUGUUCUACUCUUUCCCCCAUCUCACUACUGCACUUGACUAUUUUUUU